rfam:Chlorocebus sabaeus isolate 1994-021 chromosome 13, whole genome shotgun sequence.
CUUAUCGACCAUACCACCCUGAGUACACCCGAUCUCUUCUGACCUUGGAAGCUAAGCAGGGUUGGGCCUGGUUAGAACUUGGAUGAAAGAUCACCUGGGAAUACCAGGUGCUGUAUUUC